GACGAACGCUGGCGGCGUGCUUAACACAUGCAAGUCGAACGGAAAGGCCCUGCUUUUGUGGGGUGCUCGAGUGGCGAACGGGUGAGUAACACGUGAGUAACCUGCCCUUGACUUUGGGAUAACUUCAGGAAACUGGGGCUAAUACCGGAUAGGAGCUCUUGCUGCAUGGUGGGGGUUGGAAAGUUUCGGCGGUUGGGGAUGGACUCGCGGCUUAUCAGCUUGUUGGUGGGGUAGUGGCUUACCAAGGCUUUGACGGGUAGCCGGCCUGGGAGGGUGACCGGCCACAUUGGGACUGAGAUACGGCCCAGACUCCUACGGGAGGCAGCGGUGGGGAAUAUUGCACAAUGGGCGGAAGCCUGAUGCAGCAACGCCGCGUGCGGGAUGACGGCCUUCGGGUUGUAAACCGCUUUCGCCUGUGACGAAGCGUGAGUGACGGUAAUGGGUAAAGAAGCACCGGCUAACUACGUG
rnacentral:rRNA from 1 species